rnacentral:rRNA from 1 species
GAUGAACGCUGGCGGCGUGCCUAAUACAUGCAAGUCGAGCGAACAGACGAGAAGCUUGCUCCUCUGACGUUAACGGCGGACGGGUGAGUAACACGUGGAUAACCUACCUAUAAGACUGGGAUAACUUCGGGAAACCGGAGCUAAUACCGGAUAAUAUAUUGAACCGCAUGGUUCAAUAGUGAAAGACGGUUUUGCUGUCACUUAUAGAUGGAUCCGCGCCGCAUUAGCUAGUUGGUAAGGUAACGGCUUACCAAGGCAACGAUGCGUAGCCGACCUGAGAGGGUGAUCGGCCACACUGGAACUGAGACACGGUCCAGACUCCUACGGGAGGCAGCAGUAGGGAAUCUUCCGCAAUGGGCGAAAGCCUGACGGAGCAACGCCGCGUGAGUGAUGAAGGUCUUCGGAUCGUAAAACUCUGUUAUUAGGGAAGAACAAAUGUGUAAGUAACUAUGCACGUCUUGACGGUACCUAAUCAGAAAGCCACGGCUAACUACGUG